rnacentral:rRNA from 1 species
AACGAACGCUGGCGGCAGGCUUAACACAUGCAAGUCGAACGCCCCGCAAGGGGAGUGGCGGACGGGUGAGUAACGCGUGGGAACGUGCCUCGAGGUUCGGAAUAACCGAGGGAAACUUCGGCUAAUACCGGAUGAGCCCGAAAGGGGAAAGAUUCAUCGCCUCGAGAGCGGCCCGCGUUGGAUUAGCUAGUUGGUGGGGUAACGGCCUACCAAGGCUUCGAUCCAUAGCUGGUCUGAGAGGACGACCAGCCACACUGGGACUGAGACACGGCCCAGACUCCUACGGGAGGCAGCAGUGGGAAUUUUGGACAAUGGGCGAAAGCCUGAUCCAGCCAUGCCGCGUGCGGGAAGAAGGCCUU